rnacentral:rRNA from 1 species
CUGGAACUGAGACACGGUCCAGACUCCUACGGGAGGCAGCAGUGGGGAAUAUUGCACAAUGGGCGCAAGCCUGAUGCAGCCAUGCCGCGUGUGUGAAGAAGGCCUUCGGGUUGUAAAGCACUUUCAGUCGUGAGGAAGGCGGCGUCGUUAAUAGCGGCGUUGUUUGACGUUAGCGACAGAAGAAGCACCGGCUAACUCCGUGCCAGCAGCCGCGGUAAUACGGAGGGUGCGAGCGUUAAUCGGAAU